GACGAACGCUGGCGGCGUGCUUAACACAUGCAAGUCGAACGGUGAAGCGCCUUCCUUUUUGGUGGGUGUGGAUGAGUGGCGAACGGGUGAGUAACACGUGAGUAACCUUCCCCCUUCUUCUGGAUAACCGCAUGAAAGUGUGGCUAAUACGGGAUAUUCUGCGUCUGUCGCAUGAUGGGUCUGGGACAGUUAUUGUUUCGGUUGUGGAUGGGCUCGCGGCCUAUCAGCUUGUUGGUGGGGUGAUGGCCUACCAAGGCGGUGAGGGGUAGCCGGCCUGAGAGGGUGGACGGCCACAGUGGGACGGAGACACGGACAAGACUCCGAGGGGAGGCAGCAGGGGGGAAUAUUGAACAAUGGGCGCAAGCCUGAAGCAGCGACGCCGCGGGAGGGAUGGAGGCCUGCGGGUUGUGAACCUCUUUCGCCAGUGAAGCAGGCCUGCCUCGUUUGUGGGUGGGUUGACAGUAGCUGGAUAAGAAGCGCCGGCUAACUACGUG
rnacentral:rRNA from 1 species